CAGUAGCCACGGGAAAACCAGCAGCCCAAGUGGUGGUCGCGUUUAUUGGGCCUAAAGCGCUCGUAGCCUGACCGGUAAGUUCCCCGUGAAAUCGGGUCGCCCAACGAUUCGGCUUGCGGGGAAUACUGUCGGUCUUGGGGCCGGGAGACGCCGAGGGUACUCCGGGGGUAGCGGUGAAAUGCUGUAAUCCUCGGGGGACUACCAGUGGCGAAGGCGCUCGGCGAUAACGGGCCUGACGGUGAGGGGCGAAAGCUGGGGGCGCGAACGGGAUUAGAUACCCCAGUAGUCCCUGUCUCUUAUA
rnacentral:rRNA from 1 species